CAGCGCCCCUUCCUCUGCCCACCCUGCUGCAACGUGGCAGCUGAGUGAGGGCCUCAGGGCGGCUC
rnacentral:pre_miRNA from 1 species